GGGUGCGUAGGCUAGUGGUAGACUACCUGGCUCCAGCCCAGGAGAUGGGGGUUCGAUUCCCUCCGCGCCCA
rnacentral:tRNA from 1 species